GGCUGAUCUGUUCUGGUCUACAGAGGCGGGCAUUAGGAAGUCCAUGAUAGAGGCUGCCAUCACGUCGUCAGGCUCUCAAAGCUGCAUUCUGGUUGGUCAAUCUGAGACCAUGUUAUGUGCAGUGAUCCACCAUCCCUCUGUCCUCUGGUUCCAUAGACGGGAUGGGCAGCCCCUCCCGUGGUUUCUCUGGAGCGUUGUCUUUCAGAAUCAGAAGGGUGCUGACCUACUUCCAACAUGUUGAAGGGGUGGUUACUGCCCACAGCUGGUGUUAUCCAAUAUAUGCGCUCUGUAUCAAACUAAGCAUUGUAUGUGGGCCAAAUCAUUAGCUAAAUCUUGUAAUGAAUGUAGAGAUUGGCCAAGUUCAAGAUACUAGACUAUUUUGUGUAACCCUGGAUUGUACACUGAAAUGGUACAUUUAAAGAUUCAACGGUAGCUGGGGGGGGGUGAGGUCUGAUAACGCUGCUCUGGUUGCUUGAUAAUCAAUUCGUACAGGCCCUAGUUUUAGCAGACCUGGGCUGCAGUCCAAACUACCCCUUCAGUCCUUAUUAAGCAUUGCAUAUGGGACAAUUCAAUUAACUUAACAUGUUAUCAAUUUAGCAAGUUGUGAAAACAUAUUGCUGUAACGGUAGCUAAAAUGGGGAUGUCUGUGAUAAAGCACUGCUUGUCGAGCCACAAAACAAAUACUGUUUUCACACUACUGCCCAGUUAUAUGUUAAAGUGCCACAAAGGACAGGCAAAUUAGUUGGCCCAGAACAGGGAAGUACUGCUGGCCCUUAAAGGAAUACUUCAGUUUUUAUUUUUAUGCGGCCUUUUAUUUACUUCCCCAGAGUCCAAUGUCCUCAUGGAUAUCCAUUUGGUCUGCAUCCAGUUUCAAAGGAAGUAGCCAGCUAUUGCUAAAUAGCAUUAGCAAAAUUAAGAUGUUUUGUGGUAUCUGCUAAUGCUGACUUACAAUUGCACCAGUUGGCUACUUCCUUCAAACUAGAUGCAGAGACAUAAAUGGUAUUGAGGUCAUCUGACUCGGGAAGUAGACAAAAGAGCCUCGUUGUCAAAAGCCUAAAGUAUCCCUUAAAAUGUACUCGUCACCCCUCCCUCUGCUUGCCCUACCUAUAAACUACUGAGUGACGCAGCGGUCUAAGGCGCUGCAUCUCAGUACUGGAGACCUCACUAGACACCCUGGUUUGAUUCUGGGCUGUAUCACAACUGGCCGUGAUUGGAAAUCCCUUAGGGCAUUGCGCAAUUGGCCCAGCGUCGUCCGGGUUUGGCCUGUGUAGGCCGUCAAUGUAAAUAAGAAUUGGUUCUUAACGGACUUGCCUACUACAUUAACAAAAUAUGUAUUUCAAUGUACCCUACAGCUGGUGUCAGCAACAGUAUGGUUGAUCUCCAGUGUGAGGACUGGUGUUUUAGUUUGAAUAUUUUUGUCAAUAAAGUUUUAUACCGUG
rnacentral:lncRNA from 1 species